GAAGAAGAAAGGCUAAAGUCCUAAGUAAAGCAAAAAAGGUAAGGGAUAAGAAACAAGACCACAAAUGGAGUUCCUCUCUUGAGAUCAUAUUGAUGAUCCAAGUAGCUCCCAUCCUUUGGAAUAAGCAAAUCAAAUAAACAUAAACUCAAGCAAUCAGACAAGCCUCUUAAGAGGUCCUCAAUGCAUCUUGAAUCUUUCUCUUUUUGGAUGAAAAUGGCAAUGGUUCUCAAGCUUGAAUCAAGGUGGA
rnacentral:lncRNA from 1 species